CCUACGGGAGGCUGCAGUGGGGAAUAUUGCACAAUGGGGGAAACCCUGAUGCAGCGACGCCGCGUGAGUGAAGAAGUACUUCGUUAUGUAAAGCUCUAUCAGCAGGGAAGAAAAUGACGGUACCUGAGUUAGCAGCCCCGGCUAACUACGUGCCAGCCGCCGCGGUAAUACGUAGGGGGCAAGCGUUAUCCGGAUUUACUGGGUGUAAAGGGAGCGUAGACGGCAGUGCAAGUCUGGAGUGAAAGGCGGGGGCUCAACCCCCGGACUGCUCUGGAAACUGUCAAACUAGAGUACGGGAGAGGUAAGAGGAAUUCCUAGUGUAGCGGUGAAAUGCGUAGAUAUUAGGAGGAACACCAGUGGCGAAGGCGUCUUACUGGACCGAAACUGACGUUGAGGCUCGAAAGCGUGGGGAGCAAACAGGAUUAGAUACCCCUGUAGUC
rnacentral:rRNA from 1 species